CCGAGUUUACAACUCCCAAACCCUCGCGAACCUUACCUUUCAGUUGCUUCGGCGGUGCUGCCCCGGCGCCUACGUGCCCGGAACCAGGCGCCCGCCGGAGGUCCAUGAAAACUAUUGCAUUUUCUCCUGGUAUCUAUCUGAGUGGCUUGCAAAGCAAAAAAUCAAAUCA
rnacentral:misc_RNA from 1 species